rnacentral:rRNA from 1 species
GAUGAACGCUGGCGGCGUGCCUAAUACAUGCAAGUCGAACGAAACUUCUUUAUCACCGAGUGCUUGCACUCACCGAUAAAGAGUUGAGUGGCGAACGGGUGAGUAACACGUGGGCAACUUGCCCGAAAGAGGGGGAUAACACCUGGAAACAGGUGCUAAUGCCGCAUAACCAUCGUUACCGCACGGUAACUCUGUAAAACGUGGCUAUACUACCCUUUUUGGAUGGGUCAGCGGCGCAUUAGCUAGUUGGUAGGGUAAAGGCUUACCAAGGCAAUGAUGCGUAGCCGAACUGAGAGGUUGAUCAGCCACAUUGGAACUGAGACACGGCCCAAACUCCUACGGGAGGCAGCAGUAGGGAAUAUUCCACAAUGGGCGAAAGCCUGAUGGAGCCACGCCGCGUGGGUGAAGAAGGUCUUCGGAUCGUAAAACCCUGUUAUUAGGGAGGAAAGUGAGUGAGAGUAACUGUUCAUGUUUCGACGGUAUCUAACCAGAAAGCCACUGCUAACUACGUG